UACGUAGGGGGCAAGCGUUGUCCGGAUUCAUUGGGCGUAAAGAGCGUGUAGGCGGCCAGGUAGGUCGGUUGUGAAAACUGGAGGCUCAACCUUCAGAGGUCGACCGAAACCAUCUGGCUAGAGUCCGGGAGAGGAGAGUGGAAUUCCUGGUGUAGCGGUGAAAUGCGCAGAUAUCGGGAAGAACACCUAUGGCGAAGGCAGCUCUCUGGGACGGUACUGACGCUGAGACGCGAAAGCGUGGGGGAGCGAACAGG
rnacentral:rRNA from 1 species